GACGAACGCUGGCGGCGUGCUUAACACAUGCAAGUCGAACGGAAAGGCCCUGCGUUUGUGGGGUGCUUGUGUGGCGAACGGGUGAGUAACACGUGUGUAAACUGCCCUUGACAUUGGGAUAACUUCUGGGAACUGGGGCUCAUACCGGAUAGGAGCUCCUGAUGCAUAGUGUUGGUUGGAAAGAGUCGGCGGUGGGGGAUGGUAUCGCGGCUUACCAGCUUGAUGGGGGGGUAGUGACUUCCGAAGGCUUUGAGGGGUAGCCGGCCUGGGAGGGUUACCGGCCACAUGGGGACUGAGGUACGGAGCAGAAGGCAACGGGAGGCAGUGGUGGGAAAUAUGGCGGAAUGGGGGGACGCGUGAGGCAGCAACGCCGGGAGCGGGAUGACGGCCUUCGAGUUGAGAACAGCUUUGGACGGAGACGAAGAGAGAGUGACGGUAAUGGGUAAAGAAGCACCGGCUAACUACGUG
rnacentral:rRNA from 1 species